rnacentral:lncRNA from 1 species
AGAAGCUAGACUCAUCAUGUUUUACAAAAUAACAAACGACCUUGUAGCACAUGCACUUGUCUCAGAAACGUUUUCCUUUAUACCUUCAUAUAACACUGUGUUAUAUCAAGGUACAUAGGGGAGGGGUGGAAUCUGAGACAAGUGCAUGUGCGGGCUCUACCUUGUAGACAUAGACAAGAGUAAACACCCACAAAAACCAACAACAAGCUCUAGCGGGACAGGACAUCAGAAUGAAAUUUGUAAAAA